rnacentral:rRNA from 1 species
CACGCAGGCGGUCUGUCAAGUCGGAUGUGAAAUCCCCGGGCCCAACCUGGGAACUGCAUCCGAAACUGGCAGGCUAGAGUCUUGUAGAGGGGGGUAGAAUUCCAGGUGUAGCGGCGAAAUGCGUAGAGAUCUGGAGGAAUACCGGUGGCGAAGGCGGCCCCCUGGACAAAGACUGACGCUCAGGUGCGAAAGCGUGGGGAAGCAAACA